rnacentral:rRNA from 1 species
GACGAACGCUGGCGGCGUGCUUAACACAUGCAAGUCGAACGGAAAGGCCCUGCUUUUGUGUGGUGCUCGAGUGGCGAACGGGUGAGUAACACGUGAGUAACCUGCCCUUGACUUUGGGAUAACUUCAGGAAACUGGGGCUAAUACCGGAUAGGAGCUCCUGCUGCAUGGUGGGGGUUGGAAAGUUUCGGCGGUUGGGGAUGGACUCGCGGCUUAUCAGCUUGUUGGUGGGGUAGGGGCUUACCAAGGCUUUGACGGGUAGCCGGCCUGAGAGGGUGACCGGCCACAUUGGGCCUGCGAUACGGCCCAGACGCCUACGGGAGGCAGCAGUGGGGAAUAUUGCCCAAUGGGCGGAAGCGUGAUGCAGAAACGCCGCGUGCGGGAUGACGGCCUUCGGGUUGUAAACCGCUUUCGCCUGUGACGAAGCGUGAGUGACGGUAAUGGGUAAAGAAGCACCGGCUAACUACGUG